rnacentral:pre_miRNA from 1 species
UUGUGGAAUUUGAAGACUUCAACUUGUAUACUUGAAGAAUUUGAAGACUUUAACUCGCAUACUUGUCUGAGUUUAAAGACGUCAAGC